rnacentral:rRNA from 1 species
UACGUAGGGGGCAAGCGUUGUCCGGAUUUAUUGGGCGUAAAGGGCUCGUAGGCGGUUUGUCGCGUCUGCUGUGAAAACCCGAGGCUCAACCUCGGGCCUGCAGUGGGUACGGGCAGACUAGAGUGCGGUAGGGGAGAUUGGAAUUCCUGGUGUAGCGGUGGAAUGCGCAGAUAUCAGGAGGAACACCAAUGGCGAAGGCAGAUCUCUGGGCCGUAACUGACGCUGGGGAGCGAAAGCAUGGGGAGCGAACAGG